GAAUAUUGGACAAUGGGCGCAAGCCUGAUCCAGCCAUGCCGCGUGAGUGAUGAAGGCCUUAGGGUUGUAAAGCUCUUUCACCGAUGAAGAUAAUGACGGUAGUCGGAGAAGAAGCCCCGGCUAACUUCGUGCCAGCAGCCGCGGUACUACGUAGGGGGCUAGCGUUGUUCGGAUUUACUGGGCGUAAAGCGCACGUAGGCGGAUUGGUCAGUUAGAGGAGAGAUCCCGAAGCUCAACUUCGGAACUGCCUUUAAUACUGCCAGGCUAGAGUCCGGAAGAGGUAAGUGGAACUCCUAGUGUAGAGGUGGAAUUCGUAGAUAUUAGGAAGAACACCAGUGGCGAAGGCGGCUUACUGGUCCGGAACUGACGCUCAGACACGAAAGCGUGGGGAGCAAGCA
rnacentral:rRNA from 1 species